GACGAACGCUGGCGGCGUGCUUAACACAUGCAAGUCGAACGGAAAGGCCUGCUUUCCCUUGUGGAUUGCGGGUACUCGAGUGGCGAACGGGUGAGUAACACGUGAGUGAUCUGCCCCCAACUUGGGUAUAAGCCUGGGAAACUGGGUCUAAUUCCCGAUAGGACUGCAGGGUGGUGCCUGUGGUGGAAAACGAUUUUCUAGUGGUUGGGGAUGAGCUCGCGGCCUAUCAGCUUGUUGGUGGGGUAAUGGCCUACCAAGGCGGCGACGGGUAGCCGGCCUGGGAGGGUGGACGGCCACAUUGGGACUGGGAUACGGCCCAGACUCCUACGGGAGGCAGGAGUGGGGAAUAUUGCACAAUGGGCGGAAGCCUGAUGCAGCGACGCCGCGUGGGGGAUGACGGCCUUCGGGUUGUAAACUCCUUUCGACCGCGAGGAAGCCACCUGGUUGGAAGGGUGGUGACGGUAGUGGUAGAAGAAGCACCGGCUAACUACGUG
rnacentral:rRNA from 1 species